rnacentral:rRNA from 1 species
UACGGAGGGUGCAAGCGUUAAUCGGAAUUACUGGGCGUAAAGCGCACGCAGGUGGCUGAGUCAGUCGAGUGUGAAAGCCCCCGGCUCAACUGGGGAGGGUCACUCGAUACUGAUCGACUCGAAGGCAGGAGAGGGAAGUGGAAUUCCCGGUGUAGUGGUGAAAUGCGUAGAUAUCGGGAGGAACACCAGUGGCGAAGGCGACUUCCUGGCCUGUUCUUGACGCUGAGGCGCGAAAGCUAGGGGAGCAAACGGG